GUCUCAGGCAGAGUGGUUUGAGCCUCAGACUAUCACUCUGGAGACCAGGGUUCGAUUCCCUGCUUGGCCA